GCCGUUAAGUUCGACGUCUAGUUGCGUUUCUCAACCGGGUGCCGUGACCCAUUGAUCGGAAGAGGUGAUAGAUACACCUUCGCUCCUCACCAAGGGGGAAAGUAUGCCCGACUAGUAUACUUUCGAAUUGGUCCCGGGCAGAGUCGCUAUGUAUUUGCUAUAGCUUCUUAUCCUGGGAAACUCAACACCGUGGUUGAAAUCCCUUCCUGAGGAACCGCCACGUUAAAUAAGGGCUGAGAGAUCAGAAAACAUAUGUACCUAUCUACUCGUUGCUCUCUGACUGCUACUGGAAGCAGACGUGUUUUGAAGCGUUCCGCCUUGCCGUCGGUUUUUCAGUGCGAAAGAGUGUGUUUUCCCUUUUUUAAUUAGUUGCCGAAUAGACGAAAUUACUCUCAAAUUAAUAUUUGUCACGUGUUUCUCAAAAGCCACGUGUCUCUCAGAAGCCACGUGUUUCUCAGCUGUUCGAACCUUGGUUUUUGACCUAGGUUUCGGUUAGAGUCUCCGCUAAGUCAGCUGUUCGAAUAUCGGUUUUUGAAAGUGGUUAUCGGUUAUCGGACCAUGGACAUGGACACCGAGGCAGAUGCCAGCGACGCUAGCCUAGCUAGUGUUGGCGCGAGCUCGAUGUCGAGCGUUCCCGCCCGCAGGAAACGCAGGCCGAAGUCUUCGGCAGACAAAAAGGGAGCCAAAAAUAUCGGCCUUGGAGUCGGGAUGACGGGAGAGCCGCCGCUCCCAGCGGUAAGAUCGCCGCCGUCAUCGCCUUUUGAGCCCUAUAGCAACAACGCCAGAACAUCGUAGAAUAGAAGGGCAAUGCGGGCAAUGGGUUAUGAAGGGUAUGAAGAGCCCUGGGUAGGGUGCUGGGUGCAGUGCAAGCAUAUUGUGUGUGUGUGUGUGUUUCCUCGUCUGCUUCUCCCACAGUCAAAUUUAUCAUUUCCAACUGCACCGUUUGCACUUCAAAAAUAAAUGUAUUUGUUGCUGUAGCUGCUGUUGUAGUUGUUGAUGAUGGCUGCUGCUGGAUUAAUACUAUUUUUCGUAUAUUUAUUGCACUUUUAGUUUUUUGAUUUGAUUUAAUUGAAUUUACCGACCUAACAUCGGCUAUCGAAUAUGAAAUAUCGAUUACACGCUUAUCGAUACCCAAAGUACUGAUAAUUGACUACAUUUCUGAAUAACAGGCGGUAUAUUUUUACUGAUAAUUGCGUUCUUAGGUAUACUGCUGAGGGUCCGGCGGUAUAUUUUAUUUAUAAAUUCGCGGUCACACUGAAAGUCCUUAGGCGGCAUUUUUUUUAAUAUAAUUGCGUUCGUCGGUAAAUUUCUGACGGUCCGCCGGUAUGUAUCUUUUUUUAGAACGCAAUUAUCAGUAAAAAUAUACCGCCUGUUAUUCAGAAAUGUAGUCAAUUAUCAGUACUUUGGGUAUCGAUAAGCGUGUAAUCGAUAUUUCAUAUUCGAUAGCCGAUGUUAGGUCGGUAAAUUCAAUUAAAUCGCACUGAAAGUACUCUUUUGAAAUCCGGCAGUGAUGUACCAACCACAACCACUCUGACUCGUGACGGUGAGUCUCUGAGGAAGAGUGGCUGAUCAGUCAUCUAAUUAGUAUUAGACCCUCACAGAGGGUCAACUGAGCGGGUUGGUGUAUUGAGGUUGGCCCCCUAGUGGGAGUAUCGUGGUGGCUGUGGUAGCCCAAAUGUUACGCGGGCAGAGCCGUUAAGUUCGACGUCUAGUUGCGUUUCUCAACCGGGUGCCGUGACCCAUAGAUCGGAAGAGGUGAUAGAUACACCUUCGCUCCUCACCAAGGGGGAAAGUAUGCCCGACUAGUAUACUUUCGAAUUGGUCCCGGGCAGAGUCGCUAUGUAUUUGCUAUAGCUUCUUAUCCUGGGAAACUCAACACCGUGGUUGAAAUCCCUUCCUGAGGAACCGCCACGUUAAAUAAGGGCUGAGAGAUCAGAAAACAUAUGUACCUAUCUACUCGUUGCUCUCUGACUGCUACUGGAAGCAGACGUGUUUUGUUAUGGACGGCUUUCUGAGGUAGCCGAUAACCGACAGGGCUGGAGAAGAAGACCAGACAGCGGCCUCUGCUGUGGAUCCGAGGAGGCUGAAAAAGGGUUGCAAGGUGACAAGAAGGAUAGAAGGGAACGUGGCCGUGAAGGUUAUAUUGAGAAGGUCAGUUUCCGGGAAGAAUUCCAAGAGGUCGGUCGGCAAUCUAAAGUAAAAGAAAAAAAAAGGAGAAAAUUAAAAUCAGUGCCCAAAAGCUAACAAAACGAAACCGAAAAUCGUGAAGCGAGGCGACGACGGCGCUGGAAGGAGAAGACGGCAGCAGCGGACAACACGCAGAGAGCCGACAGCAGGGUCAGCGCCAAGGCUGGCACGGCCGGAGAACUUCGGGAGGAGCAGAGUGCCCAAUCUAAGGGAACACACCGCACAACGCACCGGCGCCCCGCACAACGCACCGGCGCCCCGAACACCGCAGCGGCACAGCGUACCACCCAUCACACCCGUGACACUCUCAUCACACACACAUCACAUACGCACCACGCACCGGCGCCACGCACACCGCAGCAUACAGCAUCAGCACCAUCACACACAUCACACACACAUCACACCACACAUCACACUCAUCACACACACAGCACUCCCACAAAAAAAACCCGCACGUAUUCACAUAGAGAUAGUCACCCAUAUUAACCCUAUUAUUAAA
rnacentral:lncRNA from 1 species